UGGAACAUUGCAUACGCUGACUGAAUAGUACAGUACACCUGUUACGUGGGCGCUCGACAAAGGCAGUUCUUUUAAAAUGAAGCAAGUCAUCCUCGCUCUCGUAUCGCUCUGCUUCUUCGACUUCAUUGCGCCACAGUGCGAGAAAGAAAACAUGGCGCAGAUAUUUUCUGAAGCUGACGCUGAAUGUAAUGCAAGAUACAGACAGCAAUACGGACUCACUACAGAUUUGGUUCCCGCUACGACAAGAUGCUGCAUGUUGGAGUACGGCAAGGACUGCGUUCCCUUACGACUCAGAGAAAAACGAUGCGAUCAACAGAUCUUCACACAUUUUAAGGACAUGAGGAGCAAGCAAAUAGUGGCGGAAUGUGCAUCAUUGAACUUCAACUGCCCUUUUGCAGCAACGUGCGACUCCUCAACAAUAUCCGAGGCCAACACUGACUGCUACAAAAGAUUUGAAAUGGAACACGGCGGCAUUCCCCGAAAACCAAAUGAUCCAAUUGAGCCAACUGGGAAUAUAAGAUUACUCUGUUGUAUGUUAAAAUACAACAAGUAUUGCGUUCCGAAACUCCUAGAAGACAAAGGAUGCCACCCCGCUGCUGCUCUACAGUCUGCGACGGAGAUAGAGACCAGAUUGAAAAAUUGUCCAACACCCAACCCGUUAUGCGUCCCUCCACGACAGUGCAAGCAAAGCUUACCCGACGCCAAAUUCAUUUGCGAGUACAGAUAUAAAAAGGAACAUGGAACCAUAGCUCCAAAGCGUCGUGCAGACCUGCAACCGAGAGAUCAGGGCCGAGACAAGCUGCACAAAAAACGUUGCUGUCUAAUGCAAUACAACAAGGAUUGUGUUCCGAAAAUACUCCAGGAAGAGUUCGUAUGUAGUGAUCCAGAUUUUCUUGAGGUGUUCUUCGAACAAAUACGAACUGAGUGUGGAACAUCCAAGUGGGACUGUACAGGCGUCCCUGCACCACAGUGCGAUGACGAGCAAUUAUCCAACGCGAGGAAAAUUUGCGAUUACAAAUAUGCGGAUGAGCACGGAACCAUAGCUCCAAAACAUCGUGCAGACCUACAACCUAGGGAUAUGAGCCCUGCUGAGGUGCACAGACUACGAUGCUGUCUAAUGGAAUACAGCAAGGAUUGUGUUCCACGAUUUCUGAAACAUUACGGUUGCACUGAUCCAGAUUUUAUUGAGAUGUUCCUCGAGCAAGUACGCGAUGAAUGUGGAACUUCCAAGUGGAACUGUGGGACUGCACCGAAGUGCAACAAGGAAACAGUGACCGACGCCGACACUGAGUGCGGCACAAAAUACACGCAGGAGCACGGCGUUAGUACUCUAAAACCCAAUGAACAACCAGACAAUGCAGACAAGAGCAACGAGAUGCGCAAGCAACAGUGCUGGUAUGUGGUUUUCUACUUGUGCGGUCCCGCAGUCAUGAUAAAAGAAGUGGACCAGUUCGAGGUAACGAGUUACAAGUAACUAGUUUGGUUUGAGGCAUGGAAUGCAUCUAAUGGCAUCUCUGCAUACAUUUACUGGUACUAAGUUCCUUUCAGAGGAACUCGUUCCUUUUUCAGGUAACCUUGCCACAGUAGGCUAAGUUAAGUUCCAAGUUACUUUUAACUCGCUUUUCACUCACGUCCAGAUACUUUUUUUGUUGCUUCCUCUCCGGUUGCUUCAUGGCAUUGUUCGCCAUGAAACGUGACAUUCAAUCAAUGACAGUAUUCUGUUCAGGAAGUAAUAACCGCUGCCAUUGAAAUAAAGCUGAACCAUUCUGCGGUUACAGGGAGUAAGAUGCAAAACGUCCUGAGAAACGUCAUCAUGACAUUGGUGGACAGACUGGAUCCGAAACAAAUCGGAAGGAGAGGGCUCGGUUCCACGGGUUGCGCUCCUCCGCAAGCAACUCGAGGUCUAACUCAGCUGCUCAUGCGCGCUGCACUUCCAUGGAAUACAGCAAGCACUGUGUUCCCGAAGUGCUAAAAAGGAAAGGAUGCAGUGAUGAGAUUGCUGCGUCUUUCA